rnacentral:rRNA from 1 species
AUUGAACGCUGGCGGAAUGCUUUACACAUGCAAGUCGAACGGGCUUAAAGAGCUUGCUCUUUAAGUUAGUGGCGAACGGGUGAGUAAUAUAUCGGAACGUAUCCAAUAAUGGGGGAUAACUAAUCGAUAGGUUGGCUAAUACCGCAUACGCCCUACGGGGGAAAGCUAGGGACCUUCGGGCCUGGCGUUAAUGGAGCGGC